CGGAGCAGGGGCGCGGGCCUGGCGGCGUUCCGAGUCGGGCGCGCGCGGGCAGGGUCCCCACUGCCUGCUGCGCAGCCGGACUAGCGGCUGCCCUCGGCCUUCUCGCCAUGGACGCGGACGACUCCCGGGCCCCCAAGGGCUCCUUGCGGAAGUUUCUGGAGCACCUCUCCGGGGCCCGCAAGGCCAUGGGCAUGCUGACCAGCGGCGGGGAUGUUCAAGUGCAUUUGGAGGCCGAGGCCGUAGGAUCGCUUGAGCCCAGGAGUUCCAGAGCAGCCUGGACAACAUAGUGAGACUCUGUGUCUACAAAAAAUAAAAAAAGAAAGAAAAACACAUUAAGAUGCUGUAUGUAUUGGAAAAUAUUUAUAGGUCAUUCUUUUGAGCUCCAUGUCCAAAAGCUUGCUAAAAUGCUUGGGAGUUUGUGUACAGGCACGUGAGAUUAGGAUACAUUGGCAGAAUCGCGGUGUUCUCUGUUACCCUGGUUUUGCCACCUGGGAGGAAUUACACAUAUUGAAGGUUAGUAAGUCCACGCCUCUUCUCUUCUGGGGAAAAAGGUACUUUGGAAACCAAUAUUAUGUGGGAACGUGGCUUGGUUGGUACAGCCUCGGCUUAACAGGAGACAGCUGCCCUCAGCUCUGCAGGUGGCCUCAAAUACGGUGGCCUCGAGCCCACAUGGGUCACACCUGGGCUGUCCCUGGGGAAGCCCGCCACGGCGGGUCGCCUGGGCAUUCUUUCCCUGGCAGAGCUGAAGUCACAAUUUUUUUGUAGACUCUGUAAAGAGCUUUACCCUUCCGAGAUAUGAUCUUGAACCUGUUGGAGCAUUUGGACGCAUUUCUUUUAAGGAAGUUCACCUCCAGAUGUGCUCAGAGGGCCUGGUCUUAGCUGCCACAGAUUUACAAAUUCUUACAGUAAGUAGGUUAUUCCUCGAGAAUUUAUCUGUUGUGCCCCCAUUCUUUUUGCCAUUUUAUUCUGAUUCUAUAUUAGUACUUGAUUUUCCCUGACGUAGAAGACUAUUGCCUGUAGCUAGAGAUCAGAGAACACAUUCCCAUUCAAGUAUUAACUUCAGGGGAAUUAUCUGUCAGAUGUGAAAUUAUGGUAAAAUUCCAUAUAUUAAAAUGACCAUAGCUACCA